rnacentral:lncRNA from 1 species
CUGCAGGCCGGGGCCGCGGGGCGGGAACUGACUGUGGACAAACGUCAGUCCGAGUCACGGAGUUUCUAAUGUUAAAGGGAAGCAGAGUGAAAGUUUAGCAAGUGCAGUGAGACGUAGAGGAAUGAAGGGGAGGCAGGCGGGUCCAAGAAGAGAUUACGUGAGGCACAGCUGUUCGCUUCCUUUUCAGGAGAAGCGGUGAUGUUUCCUCAGUGAUUUGCCUCUAGUCAGAUAAACACAGCUGGUGGUAAGAGAUUCAUGAGGCCGGGCAGAGCUACACAUCUGCCCGAAAGAGGAAGGCAAGUACUGUACAAGCUAUGGUGCUCAUCUCAAGGAUUUUAUUUCUCAAGCUGAGACAGCAUAAAGACACACUGAAGAUAAAUCAUGGACCAUAUAACAAGAACAGGUGAAGACAUGCUGAUAUGAAAAUAACACAGAAGUACCUGCAGGAAUGACAGCUUGUGGACCUAGAGUUACUGUGCCGAAUUCUCUGUUGCACACACAGAAUGAAUCUGGG